rnacentral:rRNA from 1 species
CCCGCACAAGCGGCGGAGCAUGCGGAUUAAUUCGAUGCAACGCGAAGAACCUUACCAAGGCUUGACAUACACCGGUAACGCCCAGAGAUGGUGCCCCUUUGUGGUCGGUGUACAGGUGGUGCAUGGUUGUCGUCAGCUCGUGUCGUGAGAUGUUGGGUUAAGUCCCGCAACGAGCGCAACCCUCGUCCUAUGUUGCCAGCGGGUCAUGCCGGGGACUCAUGGGAGACUGCCGGGGUCAACUCGGAGGAAGGUGGGAUGACGUCAAAUCAUCAUGCCCCUUAUGUCUUGGGCUUCACGCAUGCUACAAUGGCCGGUACAAAGGGCUGCGAUACCGCGAGGUGGAGCGAAUCCCAGAAAGCCGGUCUCAGUUCGGAUUGGGGUCUGCAACUCGACCCCAUGAAGUCGGAGUCGCUAGUAAUCGCAGAUCAGCAACGCUGCGGUGAAUACGUUCCCGGGCCUU